rnacentral:rRNA from 1 species
UACAGAGGUCUCAAGCGUUGUUCGGAUUCAUUGGGCGUAAAGGGUGCGUAGGUGGCGCUGUAAGUCGGGUGUGAAAUUUCGGAGCUUAACUCCGAAACUGCAUUCGAUACUGCGGUGCUUGAGGACUGGAGAGGAGACUGGAAUUCAUGGUGUAGCAGUGAAAUGCGUAGAGAUCAUGAGGAAUACCAGUGGCGAAGGCGGCCUCCUGGAUCGAUACUGACGCUGAGGCGCGAAAGCGUGGGGAGCAAACAGG